rnacentral:rRNA from 1 species
UGCGUAGGCGGAUUAAUAAGUCAGUGGUGAAACCCUGCAGCUUAACUGCAGACCUGCCAUUGAUACUGUUAGUCUUGAGUACGGUCAAGGUAGGCGGAAUGUGUAAUGUAGCGGUGAAAUGCUUAGAUAUUACACAGAACACCGAUUGCGAAGGCAGCUUACUGGGCCAUUACUGACGCUGAGGCACGAAAGCGUGGGGAGCGAACAGGAUUAGAUACCCUGGUAGUCC